rnacentral:rRNA from 1 species
UAACGCGUGGGUAACCUGCCCUAUACACAUGGAUAACAUACUGAAAAGUUUACUAAUACAUGAUAAUAUAUAUUUACGGCAUCGUAGAUAUAUCAAAGUGUUAGCGGUAUAGGAUGGACCCGCGUCUGAUUAGCUAGUUGGUGAGAUAACUGCCCACCAAGGCGACGAUCAGUAGCCGACCUGAGAGGGUGAUCGGCCACAUUGGAACUGAGACACGGUCCAAAUCCUACGGGAGGCAGCAGCG